rnacentral:rRNA from 1 species
AGCGAACGUUAGCGGCAGGCCUAACACAUGCAAGUCGCACGAGAAUCCGGCUUCGGUCGGUAGUAAAGUGGCGGACGGGUGAGUAACACGUGGAUAAUCUGCCCCUCGGCGGGGGACAACAGUCCGAAAGGAUUGCUAAUACCGCAUACGUCAGCGAGGUCUUCGGACCUUGUUGGGAAAGAUGGCCUCUUCAUGAAAGCUAUCACCGAAGGAUGAGUCCGCGGCCCANCAGCUAGUUGGCGGGGUAAUGGCCCACCAAGGCUUAGACGGGUAGCUGGUCUGAGAGGAUGAUCAGCCACACUGGAACUGAGACACGGUCCAGACUCCUACGGGAGGCAGCGGUGGGGAAUAUUGGGCAAUGGGCGCAAGCCUGACCCAGCCAUGCCGCGUGAGUGAUGAAGGCCUU